CAGUCUCUCUACUUUGGUCAGUUCGUAAUUUCAAUUCGAUACUAGAUCACCUUCUCAAGUGAUAAAUAAUUAUUCUUUUGCUUUCUGUAUAUUUUUAUUGGAAAAUUGAAAAUUAAUUUUAAACAAUAGUUUUGGAAUUUAAAUAACAGCAUUGAAGUCUACAAAUAUGGAACUGGCUACACCGACAAUAUGUGAAAAGAUUCGACAACGUUUGCAAUUUCAAAAGUAGAAAAAAUGUAGAAUAAAAAUAUUAUCUCAAUAAUUGUUUAAUAAAAUAAAUUUAUUAUUUUUUUUAAA